AAAUAGUAGAUUGCAGUAGAGAAUUAUCAUGUUAUAUCAAAGUGAAGAGAUACAUAGCAACAAAUGAAAUUCAUCAGCAGCAGCAACACGUAUUAAUUGUAUGGAACAGAUUUUCUUUUCCUCAACAAGACGAUAACAACAAAUUGAACAAUAAGAUCUAAAAAUAGUUGAAAAAGA